rnacentral:sRNA from 1 species
UUGAUUUUGUAACGGUAGGAACUAUCGAAAGUUACGCCUGUCAGAUAUGAUAAGUGAAACCCUGCGAGGAUAAGAAGUUGGAGUUCGAACUCUGUAAAAUCCU